rnacentral:rRNA from 1 species
AUUGAACGCUGGCGGCAUGCUUUACACAUGCAAGUCGAACGGCAGCACGGGAGCAAUCCUGGUGGCGAGUGGCGAACGGGUGAGUAAUGUAUCGGAACGUGCCCAGUCGUGGGGGAUAACGUAGCGAAAGCUACGCUAAUACCGCAUACGAUCUAUGGAUGAAAGCGGGGGAUCGCAAGACCUCGCGCGAUUGGAGCGGCCGAUAUCAGAUUAGGUAGUUGGUGGGGUAAAGGCUCACCAAGCCGACGAUCUGUAGCUGGUCUGAGAGGACGACCAGCCACACUGGGACUGAGACACGGCCCAGACUCCUACGGGAGGCAGCAGUGGGGAAUUUUGGACAAUGGGCGCAAGCCUGAUCCAGCAAUGCCGCGUGCAGGAUGAAGGCCUUCGGGUUGUAAACUGCUUUUGUACGGAGCGAAAAGGCUCUCUCUAAUACAGGGGGCUCAUGACGGUACCGUAAGAAUAAGCACCGGCUAACUACGUGCCAGCAGCCGCCGCCGUAA